rnacentral:rRNA from 1 species
AAAGGAAUUGACGGGGGCCCGCACAAGCAGCGGAGCGUGUGGUUUAAUUCGACGCAACGCGAAGAACCUUACCAGGGUUUGACAUGGCACUUACAGUCGUCGAAAGGCGAUGGCCGCAAGGCGUGUGUCACAGAUGCUGCAUGGCUGUCGUCAGCUCGUGCCGUGAGGUGUCGGGUUAAGUCCCGUAACGAGCGCAACCCCUGUCGCUAGUUGAAUGUCUAGCGAGACUGCCGCGUAAGUUGGAGGAAGGCGGGGAUGACGUCAAGUCAGCACGGCUCUUACAUCCUGGGCUACACACACGCUACAAUGGACCUGACAGAGGGCUGCGAAGCCGCGAGGUGGAGCUAAUCCCAGAAACAGGUCCUCAGUUGGGAUUGCAGGCUGCAACUCGCCUGCAUGAACGUGGAGUUGCUAGUAAACGCCGGUCAGCACUACGGCGUUGAAUACGUUCCCGGGCCUUGUACACACCGCCCGU